ensembl:lncRNA
CUGCAGCCGCCUCCCUGGCAGCCCCAGCAGCCCCGCACUGCCCCGCUUGCAGCUGCGGCCCCACCAGGGCAGCUGCAGGUGAUGGGCUGGCAGCCCAGUGCGGGCUGUGCGAGGGGCAGGGGGAGGGCAUGGCUAGGUAUGUCAUGGGGACAUAGGUCGUGGAAAGCAACGUUCUUGAUGGAGAGGUAGCUGAUAAUGAGACAGAUAGUGGCUCGCGAUAACAGGAACUUCUCUUGUCUGUGCUGCAGAUGCGAGGUAUGGCCGUGUGUGUGCGCAUGGCCCAGCUCCCAGCACGUCCUCCUGGCUGGGAGGGGCGUUCCCAUGAGAUGAGCCUGGGGCAGCGGAGGAGGUGAGGAUGGCCAGAGACGUUCUGCAUCUUCUUUCCUUGCAAAGGGCACUUCUCGGCUGGAAGCACCGGUGGGUUACUCUUCUCCCAUAACCUCAGCAUCGAUGAUGCCCUCCGGACCCAGGAUGAGGAAGGAAGAACUGGAUGGGAGAGGAGAGCACGGCUGACGCCAUCAGUGUGAAGUGCCUCGUGUGGGAGAAGAGACUGGGCCAGCAGCAGACAGAUAGGGAGCACAGGGACGUAGUUAACACCAGAAUGUCUGUUAGACAGUCGUGUUAUUGUCGAAAAGCUCUGUAAAUAAAUAGUUUGAUAUCUCUCAUAUCCUUCCUAUCUUGUGUUGUUUAAAACCAUGUGGAUUCGUAGGCUGAUACUUCUGAAAAUAGGUGUCAGAACCAUAAACCUUUCCCACUUGUCUCGCCUGAUUUUUUUUAAGGUGAAAUCCCUGCCUGAUUUUGAAGUUUGUCUUGCAGAAGGGAGUAGAAACUGAAGUUUGAGCAGUUGCUUAACGACUUUUGUAACUGAGGAGCUCCAGAUUCUCGGUCACAAAGAGCAGAAGGCAGAAUAACGUCUGCAUGCCACACGCACCCAUUUGCUAAUGCCAGCCUCGGACGGAAAGGGAGGAGCGUGCCAUCCUAACUGCUGCACACUGCUGCCCUAAGGAGAAAGAGUGAAAAAGCUGCCCCCAGUCAUUAUGGACACGCUUCAGAAGUGCAUACCAAACCCGUGUGUCAGUUCUGCAUUUCAGAAGAGCCUCCAGGGAAGGCACGGGGAUUGCCCAGGGGCAGGCCCUGACCGGAGCAGCUGCGCAUAAGCCAGCCAAGGGGAUGGGGGGAGCGGCACCUGGCUAAGUGGGGGAUGCCAAAGCAUCGCCUUGGAAGCCUUAGGAACCAACAGCAACGAGGGCCUGCAGCCAUCUGAGCCCAGGCUAGGACCUGCCUUCUCACGGCGCAGCAGGGCAGGCUGCGGGCACUGCUGGGCACAGAUCCCAAGCAGAAUGCAACCGCUUCAGGAAGCGGUGUCGGACAUUCUCACGGGCUGCACCGGGCAGAGCAGAGCAGAGCAGAGCAGAGCAGAGCGGGACGGUCCUUUCCUGGGGAGUGCUGGGCCUGAUGCGCCCCAGGGUACGGUUGGCCCUUUGGGCUGUCGGGGCACGCUGCCGGCUCAGAUGCAACUUGCCGUUCACCAGAACCCCCAGAGCCCUUUUGUGGGGCUGCUCUGCAGCCUCCCCUCCCGCAGGGUGUGCACAGAGCCACGGCUGUCCCAUCCCAGCGGCAGAAUCCACCACUUGCUCUCCUUAACUUCAGAUCAACCGGGCAGUUGCCCAGCCCUCCAAUUUGUCAGCAUCUCUCUGCAGCUCCUCCCAGUUGAGUGUUGUUUGCAGGUGUUACUGCAAUGAGAUUUAAUCAAA